rnacentral:rRNA from 1 species
ACACUAACUGGAGGACCGAACCGACUAAUGUUGAAAAAUUAGCGGAUGACCUGUGGCUGGGGGUGAAAGGCCAAUCAAACCGGGAGAUAGCUGGUUCUCCCCGAAAGCUAUUUAGGUAGCGCCUCGUGAAUUCAUCUCCGGGGGUAGAGCACUGUUUCGGCUAGGGGGCCAUCCCGGCUUACCAACCCGAUGCAAACUGCGAAUACCGGAGAAUGUUAUCACGGGAGACACACGGCGGGUGCUAACGUCCGUCGUGAAGAGGGAAACAACCCAGACCGCCAGCUAAGGUCCCAAAGUCAUGGUUAAGUGGGAAACGAUGUGGGAAGGCCCAGACAGCCAGGAUGUUGGCUUAGAAGCAGCCAUCAUUUAAAGAAAGCGUAAUAGCUCACUGGUCGAGUCGGCCUGCGCGGAAGAUGUAACGGGGCUAAACCAUGCACCGAAGCUGCGGCAGCGACACUAUGUGUUGUUGGGUAGGGGAGCGUUCUGUAAGCCGUUGAAGGUGUGCUGUGAGGCAUGCUGGAGGUAUCAGAAGUGCGAAUGCUGACAUAAGUAACGAUAAAGCGGGUGAAAAGCCCGCUCGCCGGAAGACCAAGGGUUCCUGUCCAACGUUAAUCGGGGCAGGGUGAGUCGACCCCUAAGGCGAGGCCGAAAGGCGUAGUCGAUGGGAAACAGGUUAAUAUUCCUGUACUUGGUGUUACUGCGAAGGGGGGACGGAGAAGGCUAUGUCGGCCGGGCGACGGUUGUCCCGGUUUAAGCGUGUAGGUGUGUGCUCCAGGCAAAUCCGGUGCACUUUAACACUGAGGCGUGAUGACGAGGCACUACGGUGCUGAAGUGACAAAUGCCCUGCUUCCAGGAAAAGCCUCUAAGCAUCAGGUAACACGAAAUCGUACCCCAAACCGACACAGGUGGUCAGGUAGAGAAUACCAAGGCGCUUGAGAGAACUCGGGUGAAGGAACUAGGCAAAAUGGUGCCGUAACUUCGGGAGAAGGCACGCUGAUAUGUAGGUGAAGUGGUUUACCCAUGGAGCUGAAAUCAGUCGAAGAUACCAGCUGGCUGCAACUGUUUAUUAAAAACACAGCACUGUGCAAACACGAAAGUGGACGUAUACGGUGUGACGCCUGCCCGGUGCCGGAAGGUUAAUUGAUGGGGUUAUCCCUCGGGAGAAGCUCUUGAUCGAAGCCCCGGUAAACGGCGGCCGUAACUAUAACGGUCCUAAGGUAGCGAAAUUCCUUGUCGGGUAAGUUCCGACCUGCACGAAUGGCGUAAUGAUGGCCAGGCUGUCUCCACCCGAGACUCAGUGAAAUUGAACUCGCUGUGAAGAUGCAGUGUACCCGCGGCAAGACGGAAAGACCCCGUGAACCUUUACUAUAGCUUGACACUGAACACUGGUCCUUGAUGUGUAGGAUAGGUGGGAGGCUUUGAAGUGUGGACGCCAGUCUGCAUGGAGCCGCCCUUGAAAUACCACCCUUUAAUGGCUGGUGUUCUAACGUGGGCCCGUAAUCCGGGUUGCGGACAGUGUCUGGUGGGUAGUUUGACUGGGGCGGUCUCCUCCUAAAGAGUAACGGAGGAGCACGAAGGUCAGCUAAUCCUGGUCGGACAUCAGGAGGUUAGUGCAAUGGCAUAAGCUGGCUUGACUGCGAGCGUGACGGCGCGAGCAGGUGCGAAAGCAGGUCAUAGUGAUCCGGUGGUUCUGAAUGGAAGGGCCAUCGCUCAACGGAUAAAAGGUACUCCGGGGAUAACAGGCUGAUACCGCCCAAGAGUUC